rfam:Ictidomys tridecemlineatus contig074428, whole genome shotgun sequence.
GGUGUAGCUCAGUGGUAGAGUGCUUGCCUAGAAUGCAAAAGGCCCUGGAUUCCAUACCCAGCACC